rnacentral:rRNA from 1 species
CCCUCGACCUUAGUUGCCAGCAGUUCAGUUGGGCGACUCUAAGGUGACUGCCGGCUAAAAGUCGGAGGAAGGUGGGGAUGACGUCAAAUCAUCAUGCCCCUUAUGACCUGGGCUACACACGUGCGUACAAUGGGCGGUACAAAGGGUCGCGAACCCGCGAGGGGGGGCCAAUCCCAAAAAGCCGCUCUCAGUUCGGAUUGCAGGCUGCAACUCGCCUGCAUGAAGCCGAAAUCGCUAGUAAUCGCGGAUCAGCAUGCCGCGGUGAAUACGUUCCCGGGCCUU